CAGUGGGUUCAAAAAGUGGCUGCCUACCAGAUUCAGGGUCUAGGUUGCCUCUUAAACAGGUCAGAAUUGUCUUAGAAAGUGGCUGCCUACCAGGGUCUAAGUUGCCUCUUAAACGGGUCAGAACUGUCUAAGAAAGUGGUUGCCUACCUGGUGUUUGAUCAGUAGGGUGUUCAAUUAACACACGACUCCAGUUGUGACUUAAACCGCAUUUCCCUAAGACUAGCAUGAAGGGAUGGAGGAAUAAAGUAAAC